rnacentral:rRNA from 1 species
AUUGAACGCUGGCGGCAGGCCUAACACAUGCAAGUCGAACGAGUGGCAGACGGGUGAGUAAUGUCUGGGAAACUGCCUGAUGGAGGGGGCUAACUACUGUAAACGGUAGCUAAUACCGCAUACCAUCGGAUGUGCCCAGAUGGGAUUAUCUAGUAGGUUGGGUAAAGGCUCACCUAGGCUACGCUCCCUAGCUGGUCUGAGAGGAUGACCGGCCACACUGGAACGUAGACACGGUCCAGACUCCUACGGGAGGCAGCAGUGGGGAAGAUUGGACAAUGGGCGCAAGACUGAUGCAGCCAUGCCGCGUGUAUGAAGAAGGCCGUCGGGUUGGAAAGUACUUGCAGCGGGGAGGCGUUACCCGCAGAAGAAGCACCGGCUAACUCCGUGCCAGCAGCCGCGGUAAUUC